AUUUUCAUAAGACAAUCUUAAUGUAUAUGCCGGGGAAUAGGGCCCGGGCGUCUCUACCAGGUUACCGUAAAUGACUUGACUACAUGAAGGAUGAGAAGAAGA
rnacentral:ncRNA from 2 species